GCUCUCGGCCAGAGGGAGCCAGUUUGAAGACGGCCGCACCUGGCCGGAGAGGUUGGGCGGGCGGAGGGGUGGGGAUCCGCGGGAACCGGGAAGCUGAACCCAGAGCUGGAUGCACCGCGAGGAGAAUGGAGUCUCCUAACAGCCUCCCGGGGCUGAUGUGAAAUCUGACCAUCUGAUUCCAGUUUUCCCUUCCCUUUCUUUUUUUUAUUUCCUCCCUUCGCCAUCGUGUAGUGAAUUUUAAAUCUUGCUCCGUUCCAAGAGAGGAUAUCAUGAUUGAAUGAAGCCGCCCAGUCCGCAGCAAGGAAAAGCACAAAGAGGAAAUUUCAGCGAUGGCCAAGUUGACAGAAUCCAUGAGUGAGUAACCUGAAAUUUAUUCAGUUUGGGUUUUGAAUGGAAAACCACAACAUCUUGCAAAAAUCACAUCCCUUUGUGAUUAUCUGAUUUGUCUCUUUCAUUCUUGUGAUAGCCAAGGUCUACAUAACACAGACCAUCGUGUAGUGUUACAGUUAUGUGUUACUCAAAAUUCAUCUCUCCUGGGGUCCAGUUCUGUGCUGAAAGUGUUACACAAUGUAUGGAGCUAAAGAAUCAGAAUGGAUUUUAUCUAUAGCACUGCAUUGGACAUUGAGACUCACAGGAACAUUAACCUGAGUUUUAGGAGGUUUACGCAGUCAGCAGAAGUUUUAUGCACAGAGAGUCCAUAGGCUGGAUAAUCUAAAGAGUGUAAAUAAUGGCUUAUCGUUGUCAGACCUGUUAGGUGUAGUUCAGAAAUUUCAGACAGAACUAUUAAAAAGGGAGUACUUGAGGUGUAAGUAGCUUGCCAUGAUUUAGGUUUUGUAUAUAUCAGCAGUAUACUGCUCUAAGUUCUUAAGCCAAAUAAACAGGAUACACAAAGUGUUUUGAAGAGAAAAGAAAAAUAAUUACAAUCAAUCCUCCUGCAAACGGAGAAAUGCAAUUUCCUGUGAUAAUGUUUAAAUAUUAAAGACCAUCUGAAUAUGAAAUAAACAGUCAAGGCAGACUUUUUUCCUUUGAAAAGGUACGUGUUCUUGGUGAUAGAUUUCACAACUAAAGUGACAAAGAGGGGCGUUCCCACUGUGACACAGUGGGUUAAUGAUCUGGCUUGUCUCCGUGGAGAUGCAGGUUCCAUUCCAGCCCAGCACAGUGGGUUAAGGAUCCAUCAUUGCCAUAGCGGUGGUGCAGGUUGCAGCUCCAGCUCAGAUUUAAUCCCUGGUCCGGGAACUUCCAUAUGCCAUAAAAAUAAAUAAAGUGACAAAGGGGAGUUCCCUCAUGGUGUAAUAUGUUGAGGAUCUGGCGUUAUCACUGCAGCAUCCCCAGUCAGUUGUUGCUGUGGUGCAAGUUCAGUCCCUGGCCCGGGAACUUCCACAUGCUGUGAGCACAACAAAAGCAUAAAUAAAAAGUAAAGUGACAAGGGAAGCUUGCAGAUACUUCUCCAUUAUCACUAGGGCCAUAGACACCUACGUAAAGUUGACCUGCAACAUUAACCAUUGAUCUUGCCUACAUUUAAUUGGGUCCCUGCCUGCCCCUUCUACUAUUCCUCAAAUCCUGAAAGUAUUAAAUACAAGCGAUCUUCUGCAGCACAGUCAGUGAGCCUUUAUCUCCACAGACAAUCCCCCCACAAGAAAAGGCAAUGUUACAAGGUUCUGCACAUUGCUGUUUCUUUAAUUUCUGACCCCAAACUUCUGCCUAAUUUCAUGUCUUGAACAUGUGCUAAUUUCAGGCUGUGAAUUUCACACAGCUCACAAGGACUAAGUCAAAAAUAAGCCUUGCCCUGCUCCCAAGCCUUUCUCGCCCUCUCCUCUGGGUCACCCCUGCCCUCUCUCCCUCUAGCCUUGAAGAUGGAAAAACAUUUAGAGGAUCUGCCACUUAGUUUGAAGAAUCUCACAUUGGUUCUCUGUCUGGGAAAAAGAACCUUGGGUCAUGGAAGGUGUUCUUCUUAGACCUGGAAUGAAAUAGUGAGGGUACCAGAACCACCAUGAAACUGACACGCCUAUACCAUCAAAAUAUGGAGCAGGAUUGUUACAGAACCAAUGAAUUCACAAUCCACAGCACCCUCACAGAUCUAGUUUUCAUCUCUAAGUCCAAAGUCACCAACACAGAAGACUCACAGAUGGUCUGAAUGCUAGAAAGAUCAGCCGCUUGGAAUCUAGCAUCAUUGUCCAUGAAUGGAGCCUGGGGGGAUACGGUGCAUGAAACUAGAUAGUGCCUCCCAUCAGUUGUGAUGCCAACAGGUUUCAGGACGAGGAUCUUAUUAGAAUUUGAUGUUCUAGUUCAGUAAGUAUUUUAACACACCUAGCUGAGCUGUAAACCAUUAAGGGCACUAUAGAGGAUCUAUACUGGUCAAUAUUUCUGCCAGAGGUAUUUUGUUUUUUCCAUCAUCAGAUCCAGAAGCAUUUAAGUAAGAGCACCCCUGACCCUCCCUGACGUAUUGGUUUCAGGUUUCAUGUUUGCUUCUGCAAUCAUUCUAAUGACUUUGACCUAUGAUCUAGUCACUGGCUUAAGAGAAUUCUGCCAAAAUUGAAUUCCAAAUCCUUAGGUAGAUGAAAGGUCAUGGCCAUUCUUCUAAUUUGCUCUGUCUUUUUUUAAAAAAAAAAUCACAUUGGUAUAUUCAAUCCACAAAGGAAAUUUAAAGUCUGAAAAUGAACCUUGGAAUCAAACUCAACAUUCCAGUUCAUCAAUCCUCGCAAAGAUAAAGAGUAUUAUAAAAUAUAUAAGAUAUACUACUACUUUUCCAAGGGCUCACUAUGAAAGUUAAAUCUCGUGUUCAAAACUAGUAAAUUUUUCAUCCAAAUUAAAUUCAUGAAUAAUGUUACAUACAACUAUACAUUUAUUCUACAUAGGAAAUCUGCAAGGAAAUAAAUACAUAAUUAUGUAAGAAGACUCGAUCAGUGGGCUAAGCAAAGAAUUGACAUUUAAUCAGUAUGUGAUAAAUUUGAUGGGAACAUCAAAUGCAUGGCCACCAGAGAAAAGGGACAAAAACAGAACCGCCAGGGAUCAAACCCACAGCCUCAUGGUUCCUAGUUGGAUUCAUUUCCACUGCACCACGAUGGGAACUCCUCAUUUUUUUUUUAACCAAGACUUAAAAUCAGAUGAAUUUCAACUCACAAUUCAUUUCCUGGAGGAAACUCAAGAUUAUGUUGUAAUUUACCUUCCUGUCUCUCCAUAUUGGGAGGACAACAAGGUCAUUAUCGAGAUAACCUUGAAUCUUCUGGUUGUAAAAAAAAAAGUAGCAGCAAUUUGAACAUUCCUGUACUUAAUUAUUAUUGACCCUAAGGUAUCUCCACACUGAAGCUGAGAUUGAAAAGGGAGAGACUUCUUGAGGGAUCCAGGAAGGUUUUGGGAAAGCUGGACCUUGGAGAAUGGAAAAGGCUUUACCAAGGAGAUGAAAGGGGGUGACAGUGCUACUGGUUAGGGGAUGGUGGGGAACUUGGGGGUCAAGAUGGUGUGGUGGCCAUUCUCUUAGGGGAAAACAAUGGAGGCAAGGGAGCACAGGUGUGUUGGGAGAACAAUGAUCAGGACAUACUGACUAAAGCUGGAUACUUUAAGUAGGGAAAUAUUUUAACCUAGGGAUGGCGGAUGGGGUCAGUAAGGCACUGAAUGCUGGAUAAGAAGUUUUCCAAUUUAUCCUGUCGCUCAACAUUUUCUGAAGUAUAUUCCUAGGGCCAAGAGUACCAUGACUUCCUCAGACUAAUUUUUUUAAAAGCAGGAUUGAUGAGGGGUGUUGGUGAGUCAACUAUUUUAGGAGGAACUUGCCCCUUCUCUUGAGUUUCCCAGUGCCUCCUAGGGUAGUAAAGGCUUUACGAUGCUCUGCAGGAAAGAAAUCUGUUUAACUUCUUCAGUAGAGUGGAAAAAAAAUGGACUCCACAAGAGAUCCACAUCCUGCUCCCUGGAACCUGUGACUGUUACACAGAUGGAGAUAAAGUGGGGAAGGGGGUCUCUGAGAAUGUAAUCAAGUUGAAGGUCUUGACUUGGAGAGAGAUUAUCCUGCAUUAUCCAGGUGGACCCUAAAUCCAAUCACAUCCAUACAGCAGAGGUGGCAAAGUGAAGACAGAACAGAGGGAUUUGAAGAUGAUAGACUUGAGGAUUGAAGUGGUGCAGCCAAAAACCCAAGACUGCCAGCGACUCCCAGAAUCUGGAAGAGACAAGGAAGGAGGGUCCCCUGGAGCCUCCAGAGGGAGUGUGGUCUGCAGAGGCCUUGUUCUCAGACUUCUCCCCUCCGGAACUGUCAGAGAACAAAUGUCUCCUGUUUUGAGGCACCCAGAUUUGGGUAAUCUGUUAUGGCAGCCCUAAGAAAUGAACACUAGGGGGGAUGUUAGUCAAAUGACUGAUGGUUUUCUCCAGGAUUACAUUUGUCUAACAGUUACCUCAUUUAAAAUAUUACAAAGAUGCUACAAAUGAACCUAUCUACAGAACAGAAACAGAUUCAUAGACAUGGAGAACAGACUUGUGGUUGCCAAGGGGGAGGGAGUGGAAGUGGGAUAGACUGGGAGUUUGGGGUUAGUAGACGCAAACUAUUACAUUUAGUGGAUGGGCAAUGGGUCUGCCAUAUAGCACAGGAAACUAUAUCCAAUCUCCUGGGAUAGACCACGAUGAAAGAUAAUAUAAGAAAAAGAAUGUAUAUAUAUGUCACUUUGCUGUAC
rnacentral:lncRNA from 1 species